rnacentral:rRNA from 1 species
GACGAACGCUGGCGGCGUGCCUAAUACAUGCAAGUAGGACGCAGUUGCGAACGGGAGAGUGACGCGUAGGUAACUACCUAUUAGAGGGGGAUAACUAUUGGAAACGAUAGCGAAUACCGCAUACUAGUAGUUGGACCUGCGUUGUAUUAGCUAGUAGGUAGGGUAAUGGCCUACCUAGGCAACGAUACAUUGCCGAACUGAGAGGGUGAUCGGCCACACUGGGACUGAGACACGGCCCAGACUCCUUCGGGAGGCAGCAGUAGGGAAUCUUCGGCAAUGGGGGGAACACUGACCGAACAACGCGGCGGGAGUGAAGAAGGUUGUCGGAUCGUAAAGCUCUGUUGUUAGGGAAGCGGUACUUAACCAGAAAGGGACGGCUAACUACGUGCCAGCAGCCGCGGUAAUUC